rnacentral:lncRNA from 1 species
UUGAAUCCAUUCAGCGGGAGCCCAAUCCAGCGGACACAGCUCAGCAAGAGGCAGGCGACACCGCUGUGGGUCGACGGGCCGCAUCCGCUGCUGCCGUUGGGCAGCGGCAGGAUGCGAUCGUUCACACCAUUCAGCGGGUGCCCCUGCCAGCGGACACAGCUCAGCAAGAGGCAGGCGCUACCGCUGUUGGCCGACGGGUCGCACCCGCUGCUGCCGAUGGGCAGCGGCAGGAUGCCACCGUUGAAUCCAUUCAGCGGGAGCCCAAUCCAGCUGCCCCAACUCAACAAGAGGCAGGCGACACCACUGUGGGUCGACGGGCCGCAUCCGCUGCUG